CUCAGGAUGAACGCUAGCGGCAGGCUUAACACAUGCAAGUCGAGGGGUAUAGCACUUCGGUGCUAGAGACCGGCGCACGGGUGCGUAACGCGUAUGCAAUCUACCUUUUACAGGGGGAUAGCCCAGAGAAAUUUGGAUUAAUACCCCAUGGUAUAGUGAGUUGGCAUCAACUUGCUAUUAAAGUCACAACGGUAAAAGAUGAGCAUGCGUCCCAUUAGCUAGAUGGUAAGGUAACGGCUUACCAUGGCUACGAUGGGUAGGGGUCCUGAGAGGGAGAUCCCCCACACUGGUACUGAGACACGGACCAGACUCCUACGGGAGGCAGCAGUGAGGAAUAUUGGACAAUGGGCGCAAGCCUGAUCCAGCCAUGCCGCGUGCAGGAUGACGGUCCUAUGGAUUGUAAACUGCUUUUAUACGAGAAGAAACACUGAUUCGUGAAUCAGCUGACGGUAU
rnacentral:rRNA from 1 species